GGGGUAAAUAAUGGAGAAGUUACUCGAGGAUCUGAUAAUAACAAAUUAAAAUUCUACGGAAUAUUAUAGGCAAAGAAGGUAAAGGCUAAUCCGAAACUUAGGAAACAGUGUGAAAUAAUAAUGAUUUAGAAUAUUUUGUGGACGUGUGUAGAGAAAUUAGGUCGGAUAUCGAAAACUGUCCGUCAAGAUGCAAUUUACCGUUUUGUUAGCGAUCGAGCAGAUUGGUGGGAAGCUGGAGGACGGUCAGAUUGAAAUGUUUCUCUCGUAAUCGAUUGGUCUCUAAAACUCGUUCACCAACUCGAAGCAUGAAUCCAUCUGUGUCACGGACAAUUUCCUUGUUUUCCUUGUCAUAAAACAGUCGCUCAGAAAUUUUUCUCUUCCUCGUAUCCCAUUUUCAUGAGGCCUCGCGGCGACGUACAGGGUCGUAAUCGUGCAUAAAUCUAUAUACACUUGUGUGCUUGUAGUGAAAUCAAGAACGUUUCGCAUAUAUUCCGUUUUCCACGUUUUAAAUAAAGUAAUAUUAAAGCGGAGUUUUUAUUUUGUUCGAGCGUUUUAUCAUUCGUGGAUUUUUGCUUUUGAAAUUUUUCUUUCAAAAACGAUAUUUACUUUUUCUUUUUUUUUCCUUUUAUCGCAGAUGCGUCGUUAAUUAUUAUUUUAUUUAUUUAUUUAAAUAUGAUUCAAAUACUUCGUUAAAUGAGCUGCUAAUCGAUGCCACGUAGAAUCUCAAUUUGAAAAGAAAAAAUAAAAAGUUCGGUCACGGUAUGGUAUCCUGUAAUUAACCGGUAUAAAUAAUGCGCUUAAUUGAAGAUGCUUGAAUUUCAAAUUAACUCCAGGCAGUGACUGAAUUUCUAUUUAACUUAUUUCUUCAAACGAGUCGACAAUUUUUGUUUGUUUACGGAAUUCUAGUUAAAAUUUUUGUUGAAAAAAAAAUAAACGAAAUAUAUGCAACCUCGAAAAAGUUUCGACAAAACGGGAAUUUAAAAUAAAAUCGAAUGCUUUUCUAUUCGAAUCGAUAAAUGGAAUUGCAAAAAAUGGGAAAUUCGAUAAAAUAAUUUGCCUUUUACAAAACUUUCGAAUAAUUAUCAACGCUUUAUUUCGUUUCAUUUAAAAAAAUUACUUCAAUUUAUCAUUGUUCGAUAGACAAGAACUAUAAAAUUCAAAAAUUUUCAAUUCUUCCCUAUUGUAAAUUAUUACAAUAAUUUACACGAUAUGUUCCUUCAAUCAGCUCUUGUCUCUCAUCCUAUUUACACUUGUUAUCAAUUAAAGGCUUAAUAGCCCGCGAUUUUCCCAAUUUUCACAUUCAUUUGAUCUUGUUUCCUUUCUCCAAGGAAAAACAAGGCUUUGAGACUUUGUUUUCACUUUCAGUGUUUCGCAAGAGUUACGCGACGAAAGAUGAACUGGAGUUUCGAUGAAUAGAUUUCCCUUUUCACGGGGACAGUUUCUUUUCUCCAUUUCUCGAACAUCAAUAAUUCACUACAUCAAUAAUUCUUUGCGAAUGUUUCUGUUGCGCAAUGGAUCUUAACCAACUUAGCGCGCGAUAAAAAUCUUCCUCGACUGCCGCAAAUUCGUGCGUUCUGACUCAUUUCCGUGCACGUGCGUUCCGCGCACGAUUGUUUCCCGUUUCGUUUGUAGAACAUUCCCAAACUUGAGAUAUUUGCGCAAUUGUGGGUAUCUUGUAAUUAAUUUGGAUCGAUGUUGGGCGUGUGCAUAGUUUACAUUUAAGAAUCGCAAGGCUAUUCGUGUUCUAUUCAAUAUUUAAUCGCAGUAUUUUUUUUCGUGUUUUAUUAUCGGUAUAUAAUUCGUAUAAAUUUUAAUCUUUUGUUUUUUUUUAUAUUUCUGUCAAUUUUGGAAAUUGUUCCAAAAGGGCUUUCGAAUAGUCAUUUUUUGUGGUGUCAUCAAAUUUAAUUAUCGUUAAGUUUUUAUUCAUAAAAUAGGGAAAUAUUGUAAAUAAAAUGCAUAUUUCGAUUUAGAUUUUUAGUAUCACAAGUAGUAGAUAUGCAAAUAUAUAUUCAUUAAAUGUAUUUUCAAGUUACGAUCUGGAUUUUGAAAAUAUUUUUCACAACUUUUGGUUGCUUCGAAGGCUACUGUGUUACAGAUAUACAAACAACACUGUUUUAGUAUUAAUAUAUAAAAUUGCUUUUGUUUGCUCUCACAUAUGUAUUUUUCCGAAAUGUCCAAAUAAAGUUUCGUUCAACUGAUUUUAUGUCCUGAUAUUAAACGAGAAAUAUAAAAUCACUGAACGAAAAACAAUUAAAAAAGUUCAUCAGUUACAAAAUUACAUUUUAUGGCAAGAAAUUUUUAAAUUUUUAAAUAUUAAAAUCAACAACAAAUCCACUCAUCUGAUCCCGUUCCAUCAAUUAUAAUACAAAAAAAAUCUCGCUACAGUAAAUUUCAAAAAAGGAAGAAAACAGAGCCUAGCCAUAAUCCAUACCAUAGAUCUAGCAACGCUGACUAACUGGUCAAACCUCUCCUCUCCGUAUGCACUAUCUAUGCAUGCAAGCCGUAGCAAUAAAUAAUCGGUCUUUGUUGAAAACACCGGCCCGUCCUCGAAUUUUUCCACGAUGGAACACCACCUCACAAAGCCCCUUUUCGGAUCCUAUCUCGUUCGAUGCACGAGCCUCGUUCUGACUCAUUCUGACGCUCGAUGCAAACUCUUCUUCUUUUUUUUUUUCCACGAUGCAACUGCCAACCAACACGUGCAAUCAUGUUUCACAUAGACACGUGUAUAAACACGUUUACAACCGGUUGGCGAAUUACGAGCUGGAAACGCAUCUCCCUCCCCCUUUGGUGCUUGAAAAUAUCCGCGAUGCUCGUCGAGUGGAUCUCCCUCGGCGCCAUCCUGGCCAAAACGAGCACCCUCGUUUCCGAAUAUCAGACGUUUUACAGAAACUCUUCUCAUCCCGCGAGAAAGUUUCACCCAGAGAGAAACGAUGAUACGACGAGAGGUUAUAUUUUUCAGACUUUUCUUUCGUCAUGGGCAGAGUUUUGAAGAAAUCAAACUCUUUCUUUUGUGAAAUGUUGAAUUUUUGGAUUAGAUAUUCAAAGUGCAUAUAUUACAAAAUCAAUUAGAGAAAAACAAUCUGAUUCUUAAUACUCGACACAAGUAGUACAAUUUGUAUCGAUAUUGCCAAUAUCACUUUAAAUCCUCGAAACGGAUUUAUUCGUUGGAUUAAUAUAAUGGUAUUAAAGAUUCAAAUAUCGAGGAAAGAAUCUCUGUAUUAUUACCACGAUUUUCCCCCCCUUAUUUGCAUCGAAAGUACGAAAAUCGCUCACCGAACGAAAACGAUUUGUCGUUCAUCGAGAUGUACAAGCGCCAGACGGAAAUAAUGAACUCGUGCGUAAUAACGUAACGGCAGCUUCCUGCCAAUAACACGGACUUUUAUUGCGCGGUCCAACGAGCCAAUGGUGAUCGUAAAUCGUGCUGGUAUCGUGACAAUAAAAUCCAAAGGAUGACGCGUGUUUCGAGUCGAUCCACGUAAUAAACGCGUGGAAACAGGAUUCGUUUGCCAAAGCAUUUUCACUCGACAAUUUUCUUCUCUCUUGCUCCUUCUUCCCUUUCUUAACCGUGUGUCAUCAGUUUCCACGAGUUGGCGGUGGCGACAAGUAUGAGCUCGUGUAAAUAGAAUCUCCUCCAGAGGCGUUUAUGUCGUGCAUUAAAGAGGCGUGUGGUCGACGAUGACUGAUGACGACUUCGAGAGAAUCGUGAAGAGGAUUUAAGGCAAUUUGUGGUUGUCGAAUGGUGGGCAGUGGUUUUUAUUUUGAAGUUUUAGGUUGGAGGGAUUGUUUGAUAAUCGAUUAUCGAUAUUCUUGAUUCGAUUAUGAUGCUCGUUGGAAAAAUAUGGAUUAAUGAUUCAAGGUUGGAUGAAUUGAGGGAUGUUUGGUGAUCGACAAUCUUGAUCAUUGACGUGAUUUAAGAAUCGUUUGACGAAGUUUUAUUGCGUAAGAUGAAUCGACGAAUAUUGGACAUAGUUUGGUCGACGAUUUAGAGCUUGGAGAAUAUCGAUGAUUUCCAUGUGAUUAUAAUGAAUGAUGGAAGAAGAUAAAUGGGUGUUUUUUAAUUAUCGUGCUUAUGAUAAAUGUCAGAAAUAUACACGAGUGAAGGAUGAUGAUCUGGGAAAUGUUGUUCAAAGUUUAACUUGAGCGAAGUUUAAUAAUUGAUAGAUCAUCGUAAAUGAUUGAGAGUGAACAACAGAAGUGAUGUUAGUGAUUGAUCAUUUGAGGAAAUCUGUUUAGUGAUUAAUUUAGCGUAUAACAAUAAUUAUAUUCGAUGAAGAACAAAUGUGACAAGAUUUGAUUAAAUUUGAGAGAAGUUUGAUGAUUAAUGGACGAUUAUCGUCGAUCAAUAUUAAGAGAAAAGAGAUACACGUAGAAAUUAUCGAACAAAUAAUUUGAUCGUGCAAAUAUCAAUGAUUUUUGACGAAAGUUUUGUAUUGUAACUAAUAUUUCAUGAAUGUAAUUGAAAAAUUAAUUAACUCGACUAAAACUUUUCUGGAUCAUUUCCAAUCGAACGAUAGGAAUUCAAGAUUAAAGAGAAAAAAAAGGAAAGUUUCUACAAGUUGGAAAAAUUACAUCCUUCCUUUCUAGGAAUGUUCGACAUAAUAUUCUUUAGUAGUAAAAACCGAUACAUAGCGAGACGAAGUCAUAACGCGAAUUAAAAUUACCCUCGACAAAAGUUGGCAUGGAAAAGUUUCUAAGCUGGAGGCUCUUCUCAAAACUUUUCUCAACAUUCUAGGAAAAAAAUAAAAAAUAAAAAAAAAAGAGAGAGAAAAACACUUUUAAACAGGAUUUCACGGUUUCGUUGCCCAAGGGUAUUCAUCGUAACACCGAUAGCGUUUGACGUUCUACUGAGAUGAAAUUUUGCAUUACGUAUUAAGUGUGUGCAGAAGAUGAGAAGCUUUAAUAGAAUAGAUAAUAUCUGUAAGGAGGAUAUUGGUGGUGGAAAUUUCCUCUCGCAUCCAUCGUUGCAGCGAGAUUACGAGGGUGGUGUCGCGUUUAACAUCAUCGGAUAUAUAAUAGAGAAUCGAUAAGGAAAGAUGAUACUUCGAUGUAAUUGAACAAUUCUGAUGUGUUUCUGGCUUUUCUGGCUUUCGUAUAAGAAUUACGUCCGAAAUAUCUUUCCAAACUACGUCAUUAUAAAAAUCAUUUAGCCCUCAUCUCGAUUAACGUGUAAUCGAUGCAAGGCUAUUUAUCUUCUUUAAUAUUUAUCGAUGCCAAGUGAGGAGAACGUAAUAGGUUGGUGAUGUUGGAAGGAUGUCAUCCUGAAUAUGGAGAAGCUGCGAUCGGCCUUGAAGGGAAUAUAAUCGGUGGCCGUUAAGGGGAGGAAGGAAUCGAAGUAGUCAGGAGGAGGAGGAGGAGGACCAAUUGCGCUUUAGCAUUCCGGCUGGCAAAGGGAAUUUGCACGGAAAUUGAAUUGCAUAAUGAAGACGGACAGACGUUCGCGACAAUAGCGACGAAUAGCGAGCGAUUCAAUUUCCAAGUUGCUACGUAUGGAGAACUUGGUGGAGCGCUUCAAAAGCGACAACUUUCUCUGGCCAUAAAACCGUGAAAGUCUAAACUCGUCCCUAAUAUCCAUAGUCGUUCAGUUUCUCUUCUGGAAUAGUCAAAAAUAAUUGCCUCUGGUGUAGUAGUAGUAGUAGGAUUUUUAAUAUGGACUACUAGAAAAAAAACUAUGCUAUUCGUAAAAUUUCAAUUAUAGUAAUUUUUCUAAAAUUUGUAAUUUUGUAAAUAGGAAUGGGGGAAGAAAAUGUACGAACAAGUUUCAUAGAUGGAGUAUGUACUUAACUUAUUUCAUAUGAUUCAAAUGAGCCGAUCUCGUUGCGCAGGGGUGAGCGUUAAACCAAUCCCUCGACGACGAACGAAAACUCAAUUGCGAAAGAAAUAUAAGUAAGCGAUUAAUAUAAGCAGUUUCGUUGAAAUUGGACGCAAUUUCGCCAAAAACUUCUCUUAAAAAGUUAUAUCCCAUCCAACAAGGCAAAAUUUUUGCACCUCAUCAAAUCCGGAUGAUACACAUUCUUAUAAAAAUUCCUCCUCUUCUUCAAGUAUCUCGUUGAACGCGGAAUUUUCGCGAAAAUAAUCCAACGAGGGAAAAUUUUUGCGUCUCCAGAAAAUAUCCGGAUGAUAUACAGCACACACAUCGAUACAUAAAAUUCUUCUCUUCUCUUAGAAGAAGAAGAAGUUCUCUUUCGCUGAAUUUUCGCGAAAAAUGAUUCCGGGUAUAACGGUGUGACCCUCACCGUCAGCAAAGCGUCAUAAAUUAACGAGACGGCCUUAAAACACGGACGACACACGUCCGAACGUUAAUUAUCGAAGGAGAAGGAAGGAGAAACCUCGGGUUGACGAGCUCCACUUUCACGAUGCUCCAUCGUAGUUAGAGGGUAAUUACUGGUGGCACGGUUCGGUGAACGAAAAAAUCAUCGGGUUCUUUACCCUCGCCGACCCGUUUCUUAUCAUGGAUUGAUGCUUUUGAACGCUUUUAAUCAAACACACGUUGAUAGACGCGUAUCAAUCUCGAGACGCUUUAAUGGUAGGAAACGGGAACAACCUGGUUUUUAACCAACAUACAUUGUGUGUGUAUUAUAUAUCGUGAGUAUAAUUUGGAUUUCGAGCUUCUGUUUUCCUCUUCCUUUCAUUACUUUAUUAUUCGUUAAUUAUAUUUUAUAUAAGAUUUAAUCAAAUCAAUUCGAUCAAAGGGUAAUUUGUGUAAGUUAUGUAAUUUGUUUCUUCUUUUAAUUCCUAGAGAAGGAUGGAAGAGGAUUUUUUUAUAUAUGUUUCUUUAAUCUCUUUCUUUCUUUUUUUAGAUAUGAUUUGUUUAAGAAGAUUGUUAAGAAUGUAUUUGUAACGGUGGAGUGUUAGAAUUUAUAUAUAUAUUUUUUAUUCGUUUGGAAUACUCUUCGACGCAUAAAUUAUUCUUCGAUUUAAAGUUAUGGUCGUCAAUAUUUAUAAUAAAAUAUAAUAAAUAGGGAAUAAUGGAAUCAUGAUUAAAAAGUAAGUAAACCAACGACAGGAAUAUUUGCUACAUCCGUUAUGUUAUGGAUACGUGCGUUAAGUAAUUAACCUAUUAAGCUGAGAAAACAUUUAUUCGUACAUCUGAAGAAUGAUGUCCAUAAGAAAGUAUUUUUAUUAGAUAUUAGAGAGAGAGAGAGAGAGAGAGAAAAACUCAGAGAUUGAUGGAAAGGAUUGAACGGUAAAUUGGUAAAAAAUUAUAUAUUAACCUUAAAAUGACCAUUUGUUCUCUGAUGCACGUACAAUCCCCCCCCUCCGUCUUUUGAUUCGAAUUUACUGAACUCUGACCACAGAGUUGUACCAAACGUGAUCAUUUCACGGUUAAACUAAACGUUAAAUCAUACCUCGUGCUGAGGUAAUCAUUCGUGUAUCUAAUUCCAGAGUAAUCACGCGUUUUUCGCAUACUUAUUCACGCUUGACUUUCCACACUGAUUGUUCUACAAUUUGUCGUACGUUUGAACGCUCGAAAGAUUUUAAUUUUUUUUAAUCUGAGAAUCGUAAUAUUAAAAUUACGGUCUAGUAAUAGAAUUUAGAAAGCAGAAAGAAGUAACGAAUAAUUGUAUAAAUAAAUAAACGUAUAAAUGGAAUAAUUAUCUUGGAUUCUAGUAGUUAAGUGGCGCUAGUAUCGCGUCGCUGAUCAAUCCACAAUUUUCAUUAUAAAAAAUAUUCGAACAAUCGAAUUAUAAAUCAUUAAUCUGGAGAUUUUGAUUCUAUUGGAAUAAUCAAUUUUAUCAAUGAUCUAAUAUCAUUGAUCAUAUUAUCCUUCAAGUUUCAUCAAAGUUAAUCAUCGCAGUAAAAAGAUUUUUCAUUUAUUUUAUUAUAAAAUAUUAACAAAAAAUACACGAUUUAAAAUAUAUUAAAAAUAGAUUUCAAUUAGCAUCCCACCGAUAAGGAGAAGGAUUAAUCCGAUUUCAAAUUCAGAAUAACACUUGUCCAUCUCUAGAAAUUCCAUUUUAUCUCGUGAUAGAGAGAGGAAAGAUCGAUCGAUACGUUCCAAUACGUUUUCAUCGAGAUUCAUCAAUCGGUAAAAGGAGACCGCUUAAUUGACACUUUCCUCGUGUAUACACAUGGAAAUGGUUGGAUCGAAUUAAUUUCACGGUACAACGAAAAUGGAAACUCCGGAGAUUCCAUUGUUCCACGGUUCCAGAAUUCGUCAUUUCUCUGGAAAUUCGAACUUAACUUAUUCCACUCUGUCCUGAAGAAAAUCUCUCUGAAAAUAUGAGAUAGAACGAACAAAUUAUUCGAAUGAUGAUCAAUCUAAUUUCACAUCGUGCACAUAUUAAUAAAUUAAAUAUGAUAUCUUAUCAUUAUUGAUUGAGAAAAAAAUCUACAAUUCUAAAAUCUAUAAUUCUACAAUUGAAGAAUGAAAGAGAAUCCAAGAACAAGUCGAAGAAGUUAGUCAGGUUAAGGAAUAAGAAGAGGAGGAUGAUGUUGUCGUGAAUCGUUUUCCAUCGAUUCGUAGCACGACCAUGGAAUGAUCAAUCAUAAAUCCAGUCACGUAGUGUGGUGUAAUGAUCGUAGGGACAAUCGCCGGAAGAAGCAUGUUUGUAUCACUUUGUCGCUUUUGUAACAGUGUUAUUCUAAAGAGUUACGUAUUAUGUCACUUGUAGUCUCAUCCAUUGUUACCAAAGUUACGAGGAUAUCUCGUGGAAACUGGAAAAACGUUGAUAUCUCGCAGAUAUCUCGAAACUUGGAAUUAUUUCCACGAUUUUUAUUUACUUUUGGCAACCAUUUUCGUACGAAUCGUUGACUCUUUUACUUUUAUUUUCGCAAUUAUUUCUACAGUAAUUAAAAAUGACGCUUAGCACUGUAGUAUUAUAUAUUUUUUUUUUAAAUUUGUAGCUUUACAAUAGCGAUAUAGACACUUUAAUUUCAAUCUUUUUCAGGAAAAUUUCAUCCCAGGAUCUCUUCAAAUGGAUUUUUACUUUUUUCAGAUCGCAACUUUCUAAAUAUUUAAUUGGACAACGAUUGUACAAGGAAAAAGUUUAAUUAUAAUAUAAAUUCUAUUCUAAUUGAAUAUACUUUCCAUUAUAAUUUCUAUCGAGAAUACAUAUGAAUUUAUUCUCAACUUGAAUAUUUAGAUCAAUAUUUAGACAUUGGAUUAAUUAAAGAGAUCAAAAGAUUGUAAAAAGAUUUAAAGAUAUACAAAAAUAUAAAUAUUCCAUGAUAAAUUCUAUAUUCCAUAAAUACAAUGUAUCUUCUCAAUAAAUUCUUGUUAAACAUUUCUUUAACUCAUAAAUUGAAUGGUUAAAUAACUCAUCGCUUCAUCGCUGUAUCAUAUAUAUUGUUAAAAAAAUUUCAGUAUAAAAUGAAAAUAGACAAAUCCUCCUACUCAUAAAUAGUCGUAUAUUUUCUAGCUCGUUAUUCAAAAACGGCAAAUCGAUCGUCCCGAAAUUUUCGUCGAAAUCGUUCGCUCGACUCAUUUGAGGGCUCUCUUUCCGCGUGGAAAAACGUGGAAGAACGCGUGUGCAUAUUCUGGUUAUGAAUAGGCGAUGGAGAGGGUCGAAGAGGAUGAGCCCUCGUGCGCGUGAACGCGUUCGAAUUAUGCAGAUUAAAUGGAAUUAUUUUCCUCGUUUCGUGGCUUGAAAGGCGGGAUUGAAAAACGGUAGCGAAAUGAUAGAGAACUUUUCAGUCGAUGGCCACGCUUGCACACCUUUUAGAAGAUUAUCUCUUCUUUUGGACGGGUCAGUCACUCUUCGAGAUAUAAAAAUAUGUCGAAUUGAAUUGAUAUUGGAUGAAGAUUUCAAUAUAUUGAAAGAAUAUAUUUCUAAAAUUAAUUCUCUGUAAUCUUAUUAUACGUAGAAGAUUAUCUCUCCUCUUCGAGACGAGUUACUCUAUUUAGAUGAAUCGCAAUAUCGAGUAUAUUCUGAAAUUAAUUCUCUAGAAUCGUAAGAUAUACAAUCCACAAUUUAUCGAUUCGCUGAUUGAUCGAUGAGGGAAAUCUUAUGAAUAGUACUUUUGUAUCUCGUCAUUUCCUCUCCCCACGAUCCAAUUAAAGAAAAAGAUUAACUCCUCGCGAACUUCAAUCUCCUCGAGCGACAAAAGCGCCACCCACGGAAAAUAAACACUAAAAUCUAAUAUCUGGUAAUACCGCUUUUAUUCGUCUCACUCUUCUCUCAAGCCUCUCCACUCUUACAAUCUAUUAUCCGUGAAAGAGACCUGGCCAACUUUUAUCCGCGGCUUCCUCUUCGACAAGCCACCGGAAGUGCCUCGAGAAUUCCAACGACGAAUUGCAACAACGGCCACGUACACACACACACACACACCUGUUCAAGUGUAAAUACGUAAAAGUGCAAAUGUCAAAAAGAAUUGUACGUGUGCGCGUAUUAUUCAAACGAUCUUCGCGAAGAUUAAAUGCGACGAUCCCAUUUCUCUCUUUCUCCCUCGGCUGCCGAAAGUGACGCUUUUCCCCCUAUUUUCAUUCGCAUCUGGAAGAGCUGACGAACUGCAAUUUGCAUUGUGACGGAUGAAAGUGUGCCCGCGCGCUCACGCAAGCGGAAGUUGGCCGACGUUGCGGAGGAAAUGAAACUCUCGCCGAUUAAGAGAGUGUUUUUCACGGUCCUUCAUUUUUUCCUUGAUUCUUGUUACAUUUUUUUUUUCUUACUGGGUCAAGCUUCGAUGGACGAGUGAAUAUAAGAUUGUUAAUAUUUUUAAUAUCUGUUUAACGUAAUUUCUUUAUCGUGGUUUUUAAUUUUUGGUUUUUAUUCAUUGCAAUAUUUUUUUAUCUUUUCUCUCCUUUCUUGAUUUGAUAUAUUCACCACGCGACGAAAAUUUUAUUAUUCGUAUCAUGUAAUAUUUUCUAUUUUUAUCUUAAAGUAAAUAUAGAGAAUUUUUUAAAACGGGAAAUUCCAGAAAUCUAAACAAUUGUCUUGAAUUUUUUUGAAGCAAAAGGAAAGAAAGAAAAUAGUUAAAAUUUUUUUUCUAAAGUUAAAAGCAUUUAAAUUUUUGUAAAGGUCGUUAAAAAUUUUGCGAUAUAAAAAAUUGAACGAAAAUACAUCAAUUUCAAAUACAUUUAUAUGAAAAUUCGCUCAACAAUCGCUGUAAUCAAAAUAUCGAUCGAGCGUAUCGACCUCGGGCAAAACAAAAGCGUUCUAAGCCGUCUAUCGAUUUUCCAACUUUCAAAGUCAGUCUUACGUAGAUCUUCGUAGCGUGUGGUUGCGUUUCAAUCAAACCAGUUAUUGCGUGUGUGAAAAUACUGUGAAUCAUACGUAGGGGGCGUAUGACUCAGCGUGAAACAAGUUAACAAGAACAGAAGAGUUCUGAUUUCUUGAAAUUAAACAAUCAGUGUGUGUGUGUGUGUGCGCGUGCAUUUUCGUAUGACGAAUUGUGAAUAAUCAAAUUUGAUAAAUAGUUGACGCAGUUUAAUAGUUCGGGUUUUUAAAUUUCUUAUUUCUUUUUGUUUAUUUAUUUAUUAUUAUUUUAUCAAUUUAAAUAGAAUUGGAUAAAUUAAAUUCCGUAAAAGAUUUUUUUGAAUUAUUAAUUAUUAGUAGAUUCGUUUCGUUUUCAUUUUUCUUUUUUUUUUUUUAUUUCAAAAUAUACAUGGUGGGCGAUUAGUAUUGAUAUUGAAUUUAUUUUUUUCACGAAGAUAUAUAGGAAUUAUAAAAUUCGAUACGAGCUUAAGGGAUUAAAAACUCUCUGUAUCAUCCGAUCAAAUUUAAUUUAUAACAAAGUUAUUAAGGUAUUCAAAAUAUGUUAUCUUUCCUCCUUUGUUCCGUGCCUUUUCAUAUGCUCUAUAUAAAGUUAAUCCUUAAUUAGAAUGACCCGAAUAAACAUAGAUAUAUAGAGUGUCCCACGCAACUGAACCAUAAAACAUGCGAAGAUAAAAAAAAAAGGAUUUCACGAGGGAAAAAUUUCUAAAAUCUCGACGACGAGGAAAAUUUAUUGAAAAACUGAUAUAGAUUUUUUUCAUAUAUUCUAUCUAUUACCUUUAAGAAAAUAAAUGACAAAUCAGGAUUAAAAGGAAUCAAUGCGAAUAAAAAUAUUUGUUUAUUAUUGUCUAUGUUCCAAAAAUCUAUUUUCCCUGGCCCUGUUUUAAUCAUGAAAGUUAGAAAAGACAUUCCAUGUAUAUAUAUAUGCAUAUCGAUGUGAAUAAUGAGUAAAACUGUUUUAGAAACUCGUUAACGAUAAUUCAUCUUCCAACAAAACUUAUCAACGAGCAGAACUUCGUAUCGCAAACUCUGUCGUAAAUACAACUUCAAAUACGAUGAUCCAAUAGUUCAUUUGAUAACCAGACUACGGAUUUGCAAAUAUAUAUUUUGCAUAUCGAAUAUGUUUUUUAUAUUUAACAAAUAUAUCAAAGGUCUGAUUAUUAAAGGUCACAAUUAAUUCGUAAAAGAUGUAAAAACAUCGCAAUAGAAAUUGCAAGAGAAAUUUAAAUAUAUUCCGAACACAUCUUCUCUAUAAAUUAAUUUUUUUUUUUCACGACAGAAAAUUGUAAAAAGAUAAAAUUCUUAUAAAAUAUUCAAAUUUCACAUUCAAUAUUAAUUUAAUACUAAUUUAUUCCGAAUAAUCCUUUUCCUUAUUUACAUUUAUAAUUCUAACGAUCGUGAUUCGACAAAUAUACACUCUGCUGUAAUUUUUCAUCGACAUUCGAUAUCCUUCUGCACACAUUUCCUCCUUUUUAUACACGAUCGAUAUUCGAAUCGUUAUCACGUUCGAGCAAAAAUAAAUUUCAUUUCGUCCUCUCUAUUUUCCCUCCCCGAAAUUUUCCUUUCCUAGUUCAUCCUCCAGUAAUUGUUUCAGAAGUCGGUACAACACGUGUCCCUCCAUUCUUUGAAACGAUAAUUGUCGGUGGCGCGUGUGAAUAAGCCCUUAACACCGUUAAGGUCCUCUCCUAGUCGUUGAAAACGCGUAUACCAGCAUUAUGAAUCGUGGUGGCUGUCGUCUUCCGGUUCCGUUAAGAUCGCUCCGAGCCGUGUUCUGGGAGACCUUUCAACCGUUAUUUGCUGGAAUAUCUCGUUAAAAUUUCCACCCUCGUGUUAAUUACCGAUGACGCGGAUUUUAAGACGCGGAAGUUUGCAGAAGUUGAACAUUCAAAACAUUUGUGGAUCUUCUCGCGAAAGUGGCAGCGAGUGAUUAAAAAUUAAUUCUAUAAUCGGUGGAAAUUUGAAAUUGUUUGUACAAACAUUUUUUCUCUAUCUAUUUUCCAUGUGCGGAAGAAUUUUUAUAAAAUUGGAAUCGUAAUGAUACAUAAGUUUAUGAAUUGGUUUCUUUGUUAACAAUAUGCUUUUAAUUGUUGCAGUACAACACGCGAUUAAUUCUGUCAUUUCAUUGACGUAAAUCAAUGUUUUCUAUUCGUCGGAUUAGCUUAGUCACGUUCUGAAAAAUUCGAAAGUCCAAACACAUGGACGCACAAUAGAUGGAUGCAAUAGUAGAAUGAAAUACUUCAUUAGUCGGGAGAAAGCGCAAAUAUCAAAUUCUAAACAAAAAUUUUCACAUGCAUAUAGGAGUUCAAUAAGAUCAAUAAAAUAAUUCACAAAUCCAACGAUUUUACAUUCUAUAAUUAAUUAUACAUAUUAAUUAUAAAUUCGUAUUUGGAAUAGGGUAAAAGUAUCUAGAAUCCACCUUUUUUUCUAAUAUUUCCAAUAACAAAAUACUUUACACAACAAUCUUACACUUACAUUAUCCCGACCAUAAUAACCAUAUUACCACACCAAUGAAACCAUUAACAGUUGAAUUUUGACGUCCACACGUUCCAUUACCUUCCAGAUAGAUUAAAGGCUUCGAAAGUUCAGAAAUCGACGUUUAACCUCUCUCUCCUUCCCUUCCUCUCCCCCCUCUCUCGUCUCGAAUUCUUGGCCAACCCUCGAUACAAACGUUUUACACGUUUUCGCACUCGGCGUCCGAAAAAUUCGGGCUGAAACGCUUCCUUCAUAUCGACACGGCGAUCGGCGGCAAGGAGCAAUUUCAGAGAUCCCAUUUAACCUCUUGACGUUCACCAAGAAGCACCCGCUACCCAGUUUCGUUGGAACAAGUUCUCCAAAGUUUGGCAUAAGUUUGGUGGAAAUUGGGGGAGGGUGAAAUGCGCGGAUGCGUUUGGCAGGGAUGAUCGUGGUAUGGAUGAUGCCUCGGGAUUGGAAUUUGUUUCCAUGAAAUUGGGUUUACGGUUACGGGAUAGUAAAUA